UAUGCGUCGCACGUGCCUUAGGUGCGUUGCAAAAGCCCAAUUUGUGUCGGAUCCCCUGGCCCAUCCGACGCAAAUCGUCUCAUCUUUGAAAAAAACCUUUCACACUAUCUGCGUCUCACCUCUAUAAGGGGCGUUGCAAAAGGGUGAUCUGCGUCGGACCCAUAGGCCCAUCCGAUGCAAAUCACGUGGGUUAUUUACUUUUUGGAGCCCCAACAAACUGAAAUUAGUACACCAUAUAAAAAGCCCAUUUACAUUUGCCUUGGUCUCAGCCGUUUCCUCUUCAUCUUCUCUCUCUCCAUCUCUAACCUAGAUCUCUCUCAAUCUCUCUCACCAUACUCUCUCUCUCACCAUACUCUCUCUCUCUCCCCCCUCUCCGUCUCUCUCAAUCUCAAAUGGCGAUUAUGGCAAAAACUGAACAACAACACCGGCACGAUCUGAAGAACAACGAAGACCUCUCUCACUUCAUCAAUUGAAUUUCUGUUUGUCGAUUUUUUGGAGACGAACAACAACACCAGCCGUUAUUUUGAAGACCCCCGUCGAGUUUUGAAGCACAACAUCUCUCGGUACUCUUUCACUUCAUCAAUUGAAUUUAUGUUUGUCGAUUUUUUGGUGGUGAAGAUUUGAUGAUUUCGCCGGGAAGAUCCCGUGGUUGCUGCAGACCCACUCACUAAAGAGGAUCUUGUCAAUUAUCUUGCGUCUGGAUGCAAACCUAAACAGAAAUGGAGAAUAGAAAAGAAAUAUGAACAGAUUGUUGAGCUGCUCAAUGAUCUCGAAGCCUUGUUCUCGAAGCCAUGUUCUCGAAGCCUUCUUCCUCUUCAAGCUCAUCGGAAACAUCAAGUUUAUUUCUCAUGAUUCUAGAUUCAGUUUUGGUUUUACAUCUUUUUUUUACUGCAAAAUGUAAUUUAUUUGUAUUUAUUUAACAUAUUUUUUUCUCUCAUUCGAUUAGUUUGUAAUACAUUUUUUUAUAGUAACAGUAAUAAAUUAUGUGCAGAAUCAAAACAA